rnacentral:misc_RNA from 1 species
GAUGAAGAACGUAGCGAAAUGCGAUAAGUAGUGUGAAUUGCAGAAUUCAGUGAAUCAUCGAAUCUUUGAACGCACAUUGCGCCCCUUGGUAUUCCAUGGGGCAUGCCUGUUCGUGCGUCAUUUGUACCUUCAAGCCUUGCUUGGUGUUGGGUGUUUGUCUCGCCUCUGCGCGCAGACUCGCCUCAAAACAAUUGGCAGCCGGCGUAUUGAUUUCGGAGCGCAGUACAUCUCGCGCUUUGCACUCAGAACGACGACGUCCAAAAGUACAUUUUUACACUCUUGACCUCGGAUCAGGUAGGGAUACCCGCUGAACUUAAGCAUAUCAAUAAGCGGAGGA